GACGAACGCUGGCGGCGUGCUUAACACAUGCAAGUCGAACGGAAAGGCCCUGCUUUUGUGGGGUGCUCGAGUGGCGAACGGGUGAGUAACACGUGAGUAACCUGCCCUUGACUUUGGGAUAACUUCAGGAAACUGGGGCUAAUACCGGAUAGGAGCUCCUGCUGCAUGGUGGGGGUUGGAAAGUUUCGGCGGUUGGGGAUGGACUCGCGGCUUAUCAGCUUGUUGGUGGGGUAGUGGCUUACCAAGGCUUUGACGGGUAGCCGGCCUGAGAGGGUGACCGGCCACAUUGGCACUGGGAUACGGCCCAGACUCCUACGGGAGGCAGCAGUGGGGAAUAUUGCACAAUGGGCGGAAGCCUGAUGCAGCAACGCCGCGUGCGAGAUGACGGCCUUCGGGUUGUAAACCGCUUUCGCCUGUGACGAAGCGUGAGUGACGGUAAUGGGUAAAGAAGCACCGGCUAACUACGU
rnacentral:rRNA from 1 species